CACCUCUCAAGUGCUGGUAUUGUAUGCUGCCACACCCAUUUUACGUGAUGCAGGGGAUGGAUUCUAGGGCUUCUUGCAUUUUGGUUUAUUAGAGAUGCUUGAAUGUACACGGGAAAGUUUUUUUGCUGGUGCACAGGCAACUUGAAAGUGGCUACACUACUGAAGAAAAUGAGUUGAGGUGCUGUUGAAGAGAUGGUCACAGAUGCUCCCUAUGAAACACAAGCACCCAGGUUGAAACCUAUCCAGAGAGAGACCAGCCGGAGCCAGGCUCUCCUCCCUGCUUUCUCUCCAGAUGAUUCUCUUUCCCCGUGACCCAGAACCCUCAGAACCACACAGACUUCUUCCAGCUCUUCCAUCCCAAGGCUCACUGAUGUGGUACUUGCCAGUUACUGACCCUUCUGCCUUUUUGGCAUCCUUGACCUCCCCGUGCCCACCCUGUCUCUUCACUCAUCUUAAGUCCCCUGGUGAAUCAAACCCACUCUCUUGCUCACAUCCUCUUUUCCUUACUGCCCUCUCUUUACUCUUAUUUAUUCCCUUGUAAAUUUUGGUGAUGGGGAAGUCUCAGCUUAUUCUGAACCUGUACCCUUGGUUGCUGAUUGUGUUAGAGAAAAUAACAUGAUCGCAUCAACUCAUCCCACUUAAACUCACGAGCUCUGGGCAGCGGGCAUACUCCGAAAGCUCAGAUUUUUUUCUAGCCCACUCAUCUUCCCAUCCAGACGACUACUUUACACCUUCUCUUCUCCUUCUUCAAACUUCCACUAACCUUUCCCACUUCUCAGUUUGGAAACACUACCUCCUACGCCUCUAACAGAACUGAAACGUCAGGAGUCCCAAAGGUUCCCACCACCACCUCUACCCAACUGCACGCCUAGAUACAGUGUCUGUUCCCACAUAGAGACCACCAGAACUAGAUUCCAAGACAAAACCUCUCCAGGAUACUACUCCAGCAAGACUCAGAAUAAGUCUCUUACUCUGUACUUUUUUUCUAAUUUUUGUGUCAUAUGCAUCAAAAUAUAUCUCUGCAAUUUUUCAAAUUUUUUAGAAAUUAGUUUUCUGAAACAUUCACAAAUGUAUAUAAUGCAUACUGACCAAUCUUACCCCCACUACCUCCUAUCUUCCUGUUACCUAUUUAUAUCCCUUUCUCCUUCAAAUCUCUCCCUGCUCCCUUCUCUUUCAACACAGGGUUUUUCUGUGUAGUCCUGGCUAUCCUGGAACUCACUCUGUAGACCAGGCUACCCUGGAACUCAAGAGAUCUGCCUGUCUCUGCUCCCAAGUGCUGGAAUUAAAGACAUGCAUCACCAUACUUCACUAAGAUUCUAUAAUUCUUAAAAAGCUUGCUGGGGGUUGAGGAGAUGACUCAGAGGUUAAGAGCACUGACUGCUCUUCCAGAGGUCCUGAGUUCA